CAAAAAAGACACAAUAAUCGUAAAAAUAAAAACACUUUACAAACUUUAAAAAUUAAAAUUCGAACACAUUUUCACUCAAGGUUUGUUCACAAAAGGUCUACAUUUAAAGUUGUUUCCACGAAUACUAAAUUCCGUUAAAAUUUACACUUUAAAUUGUUUUUCACAAUUUAAUAUGUACAAAACAAAUUUUACAAAACUUGCACAUGUUUGACAAAUUGACAUUAAUGAUUAAUUAUUUCUAAUUAACAUAAUCUGUGAAAAUUAUUGACAUGACAACAUAGAUUUUGGCAGUCUAUGAUCUUAAAAUGGCGAUGGCAAGAGAAAAAAAAAAAAAAAAAAAACAUACAUACAGCCGAACGUAGAACCUCCUCCUUUUUGGAAGUCGGUUAAAAAGGAAUGACCCAUAGAUAUAUAACUACUUUGUUGUUCUAAGUCUAUGGAAUGACCUCUUCAAAAUGACAUUUAUGCAACGACAUGUUCCACUAUGCUCUCGAACUGCAGUAAUAUAACUCCUGCAGCCAUUCCACAUGACGAAUGCGGUCGUUUUGGUCGGGACGAAAAUAUCACUGAUGAAGUAAUUUUUUCGCCCACAAAGGCUUAGAGCGAUCUAUCUCAAGAGGUGGGUAUUUUUUCGGUUUUGUCGGCGCAAUUUUAAAACAUUUGUUAAUAUUAAAAUUUAACACAGUUUUGAAAAUCUAAAAUUCUUUAAAAGAACCAGUAUAGAAAAAAAUAUAUAAACUACUAAUAUAUUAUAGUCUUUACUUAUUUUAUUAGUGUUUUGCAAAUACGUUUUUUAUAAAGGAUCCUUAAAAUAAAAAAAUGCUGUUUUUUAUUAUUAUUUACUAACAUCAACGCUCUAUAUGUCACUCCACUAGAGUUUAUGAUCACAACGUUAGCAACUAGCAUGAAGUGGAACGGGAAAAGCUGCGGAAGUAAUCGUGAUCGAUAGGAUCGCUAAAUGGAACGUAGCCCUAGUGAAUUUUGACUUGGGCUCAAAAAGGUUAGAACUCAGAGCUACAAAGCCAGUGUAGAAAUUAGAAAUGUAUCACUUGACGUUGAGUUGACGUCAGACAGAGACCAUAGAGUAUACAGAGACUUAGUCGUCACUUCACUCGUCACGUCAUUGUCAUCGUCAUAUUCACAGACGAAUUCAUUCAUCUCUGUUUUCACUUUACGCGUUUCUCUACGAUCUUUGUUAUUAUUUACUUUUCUAUUAUGUUUAGGAUAAAAAUAAAAACGUUUAUUGUGCCAACACUAAUGUAAAUGGACAAGAAUUAUAGAUUUCUAUAGUUUCUAAACCGUAAGAUUGUAAGAAUAAAGUUUUCGAUUUCGUGUGUAGGUUAUGGAGACGCGUACCUGUGUUGUUGACGUUAAUAUUUCAUGUUUAUGAUAAUUUUAUUAUAAAUUUAUAAUUCCCAUGUAUAAUUUUUGUGUAAUUUACUAAUAUAAUAUUUUACUACAGAUUUGUGUUGUAUUUUUUACCAACAUUCCCCAGCUCAAAGUUUAUGGUCAAAAUAAUACGAGAUUACUUUUAAGAUGAUAUAGCGAACAAUAAAUUAAGUAGAAUAUACAAUUUAAAUGUAAACAUAUUUACAAGUAAACUGUGAACUUUCAUAAAUAAUUUACUUACAUUAAAACAAAUCUGACAUUUUACAAAAACAAUAUUUAUUGAUCAAAAAAAAAAAAUAAUCUAAUGAUUGACUACGUACUUAGCAUAUAAAUAUAAUCGCAUGUGCCUUGUAAAUACAAAUAAACCAAUUUACAUCUAUAAGAAUGUUUUAUAUUACUUUUAGUUCCUGAGUUUCAGAAUUUUGUUAACAUAUUCUAUUUAUUUCAGAAGCAAACUUUAUUCCGACUAGAAAAGGGAGCACUUUACUGGUGCAUGAGGGUUAUGCAUUCAGAUUGAAGAACAAGUUGGCUUACGGCAAGAAGCAAUGGUACUGCACUUCACGUACCAAGACAGGGUGUCACGCUGACGUCACAACUGUGUAUCACCAGCUACGCACUCUCGUCAACAGGGUGAGAAACAAGCACAAUCAUCCUCCACCAGGAUUUUACAGACGUAAUGACGGAUCUUUUAGAAUUGUAUAAUAGUAUGUAACUAUUUACAAUCAUCAGUCUAGUUAGUAUCCAAUGACUGCAAAGGUGUAAUUCAUACUUGGAGAGAAGAGAGGAUGUGGAGGACUUUACCCACAGCAUCAUUCAAAUACAAGGGUAAAAUGGACAGGUAAUUUUAUUAAUGUAAGAUCUUGGAGAAAAGUGAGAGUUAAGGAUCAAACAUGUUUGACAAACUUUGCUUUGCUUGUCACAUGACUUGGCAAAGCAAUGUUUUAUAUCAUACCUGAGAAUUUUUUUAAUUCUCUAGGUGUGUGAAGUCUGCCAAUCCACAUUGGGCUAGCGUGGUGGACUAAGGCCUAACCCUUCACAUCCUCAAGACUCGUGCUCAACAGUAAGCCAAAUAUGGGUUGAUAAUGAUGAAUGUUUUAUAAGCUCUUAAAGCAAAUCAAAUUGUUUGACAAACUUGUUUGAUGAUUUAUGGGUCCUUAUGAAUAUUGUGGGAUUUACAUUGUAAAGACUGAUUUUAGUUUUUUGACUUAAAUAUUAUAUUAAGAUGAUUUUAAACUAGCAAAAUAUUUUAUAAGUUUUUUUUUUAUCGACUGAACUGGAAAUUGUGCUUUUACCCUCACACAAUGAGGGUAUGAACUCUAUUAACUAUAAUGACUGAAUUUUAAGACUGAUUUAUUUUCUACCUCAUAGUAAUUUGUAUACCUCAAAGACUUUAAUGCUUUUUUACUUUAGUAAGUUAGUUUGUAAGCAAAACAAAAUGAAUAAAAUAAAUAAUUGUAUGUAAUUAUUUCAAAAUUAUGCUUAUUCUUUUAUUAUAUGGUGGAGAACAGGAAUAUUAAUUUAUUAUGAAACACAGCUAAAACUCACGUGAUACAAUGUUGCCGCUUUGCAAGAAACAACUCAUGACUAAGGGCCCUACAUGGGUUUGAUACUAGUCUGACAUACUCCGAUUUUGUAUCACUUGAGUUAUAGCUGUGGCAAAUAUUCCUUUUACACACAAAAAAUAUAAUAAAUUAAAAUCCUUUGUAAAGGCUCAAACCCUAAUAAAUUAUAAAAUUGAUUGGCCCCUAUAUUAACUAGUGUACUAAUGAAAAUUGUAAUUACAAAGACUGCUAAAUUAUAAGCCUUCCUUUCCCCUAUUUACCUAUUUCUUGUUCCCGUAGAUUUUAAUAAAACUGCUCAAUUUAGUAUAUAAUUUAUUUUUUAAGAAAUAUUAUUUUGUAUUAUAAUCCCAACAAAUUAUGUUGAUGUGUAACUACAAAGAUAAAAUAAAAAUAAAAUUGCAACACUUCUAUUUGUUUA